GAGUACGUGAAACCGUUUAGGGGUAAACCUGAGAAACCCGAAAGGUCGAAGGGAGAAAUUCAUUCGCGUUUCGUCAUCGGCGACUAGUUGUCGUGCGACGGAAACGUACAGUUAUCGUUUUCGCACCUUCGGUUAGUCGAACCGGAGACGAACGCGUGCACUUUUCUCCUGGUAGGACGUCGCGAUCCGUCGGGUGUCGGUCUACGGCUCGCGGUGGAGCCCGUUCGUCGUUCUUCGGAACGUGUACGAGCGGACCCGCGUGUUUCCCGGCCGACUCGCUCGACGGUAUACGAAAGGUUCGGAGCCGCUUUCUCAAAGCGUUCGGCUCGUAGCAAGCGCGUCAGAUGUCGUUGGCAAUCGGACUUCGUGCCGAUUCUAACCUCUGACGACUGUUGGCCGCGAAGUUCUCGAACAGACUCCGUUUCUCGCUCUUUCGGGAGCGGGAGAAAACCGAUCUGCGACGCUAUAGCUUUGGGUACUUUCAGG
rnacentral:rRNA from 1 species